AAUGUUGUCAUGCCGCGUCUGACUAUGGUAACUCUGUAGUCAUUCGUUCGACACUGAUUAAUGAAUAAACCGAAAAAUGAAAGCGUUUGCCCUCGUGAUUAGCCUAGUCGUCAUUAGCGUGGUGGUGAUUAUUAACCUACCGUGCGGGGCAGCACUUGGACGAAGAAUGGCUUAAAAAUCAAGGCCGAAUUCAAGAAAAACCCCCGCACCAAAUGGUCGGGGGUUUUUUUAUGGGGUCGGUAUUCGUAACAAGGGAGCAGAGAAUGUUCAGUAGCAUAAAAUUCUGCCAUACCCGUAAGA
rnacentral:sRNA from 1 species